rnacentral:rRNA from 1 species
GAUGCCUGCCCGGUGACCAAACGUUUAACGGCCGCGGUAUCCUAACCGUGCAAAGGUAGCGCAAUCAAUUGUCCCGUAAAUCGGGACCAGUAUGAAUGGCUAAACGAGGUCUUAACUGUCUCUUACAGGCAAUCAGUGAAAUUGAUCUCCCUGUGCAAAAGCAGGGAUAACUACAUAAGACGAGAAGACCCUGUGGAACUUCAAAAACAGCAACCACCCCAACAUACAUACACACCCACUCCGGGUUCACUUAACCUCACGGGCGACUGGUCUGCAUUUUUUCGGUUGGGGCGACCUUGGAGCAAAACAAAACCUCCAAACAUUAGACCAUCCCUCUAGACUAAGAGCAACUCCUCAAUGUGCUAAUAGUAACCAGACCCAAUAUAAUUGAUCGAUGGACCAAGCUACCCCAGGGAUAACAGCGCAAUCUCCUCCAAGAGUCCAUAUCGACGGGGAGGUUUACGACCUCGAUGUUGGAUCAGGACAUCCUAGUGGUGCAGCAGCUACUAAG